rnacentral:rRNA from 1 species
CGCUAUGAGAUGGGCCCGCGGCGCAUUAGCUAGUUGGUGAGGUAACGGCUCACCAAGGCGACGAUGCGUAGCCGACCUGAGAGGGUGAUCGGCCACAUUGGGACUGAGACACGGCCCAGACUCCUACGGGAGGCAGCAGUGGGGAAUAUUGCACAAUGGGGGAAACCCUGAUGCAGCAACGCCGCGUGAGUGAUGACGGCCUUCGGGUUGUAAAGCUCUGUCUUCAGGGACGAUAAUGACGGUACCUGAGGAGGGAGCCACGGCUAACUACGUGCCAGCAGCCGCGGUAAUACGUAGGUGGCGAGCGUUGUCCGGAUUUACUGGGCGUAAAGGGAGCGUAGGCGGACUUUUAAGUGAGAUGUGAAAUACCCGGGCUCAACUUGGGUGCUGCAUUUCAAACUGGAAGUCUAGAGUGCAGGAGAGGAGAAUGGAAUUCCUAGUGUAGCGGUGAAAUGCGUAGAGAUUAGGAAGAACACCAGUGGCGAA